rnacentral:rRNA from 1 species
GGACCCGCACAAGUAGUGGAGCAUGUGGUUUAAUUCGAAGAUACGCGCAGAACCUUACCAACACUUGACAUGUUCGUCGCGACUUUAAGAGAUUAAAGUUUUCGGUUCGGCCGGACGAAACACAGGUGCUGCAUGGCUGUCGUCAGCUCGUGUCGUGAGAUGUUGGUUAAGUCCCGCAACGAGCGCAACCCUCACUUUUAGUUGCCAUCAUUUAGUUGGGCACUCUGAAAGAACUGCCAGUGAUAAGCUGGAGGAAGGUGGGGAUGACGUCAAGUCCUCAUGGCCCUUACGUGUUGGGCUACACACGUGCUACAAUGGCAUCUACAACAGGAAGCGAAACGGCAACGUUAAGCA